AUGGCCAUGAAUGGUGACAUAGAC
rnacentral:siRNA from 1 species